rnacentral:rRNA from 1 species
CAGUCGCCGCGGGAAUACGUAGGUGGCAAGCGUUGUCCGGAAUUAUUGGGCGUAAAGGGCUCGCAGGCGGUUUCUUAAGUCUGAUGUGAAAGCCCCCGGCUCAACCGGGGAGGGUCAUUGGAAACUGGGAAACUUGAGUGCAGAAGAGGAGAGUGGAAUUCCACGUGUAGCGGUGAAAUGCGUAGAGAUGUGGAGGAACACCAGUGGCGAAGGCGACUCUCUGGUCUGUAACUGACGCUGGGGAGCGAAAGCGUGGGGAGCGAACAGGAUUAGAUACCCGUGUAGUCCCUGUCUCUUAUAC